CCUACGGGUGGCAGCAGUAGGGAAUCUCCCACAAUGGACGAAAGUCUGAUGGAGCAACGCCGCGUGAGUGAAGAAGGGUUUCGGCUCGUAAAGCUCUGUUGGUAGUGAAGAAAGAUAGAGGUAGUAACUGGCCUGUAUUUGACGGUAAUUACUUAGAAAGUCACGGCUAACUACGUGCCAGCAGCCUCGGUAAUACGAAGGUGGCAAGCGUUGUCCGGAUUUAUUGGGCGUAAAGCGUGUGCAGGCGGUUCAAUAAGUCUGAUGUGAAAGCCUUCGGCUCAAACGGCGAAUUGCAGCAGAAACUGAUGAACUUGAGUGCAGAAGAGGAGAGUGGAACUCCAGGUGUAGCGGUGGAAUGCGUAGAUAUAAGGAAGAACACCAGUGGCGAAGGCGGCACUCUGGUCUGCAACUGACGCUGAGGCUCGAAAGCAUGGGUAGCGAACAGGAUUAGAUACCCCGGUAGUC
rnacentral:rRNA from 1 species